rnacentral:lncRNA from 1 species
AUGCAUGAAUUAAGUAUGGGGGAAGGAUUAUUGCUUUAUUGUUUGAUGUUGGAUUGUGUUUUUAAUUGAUGUUGUGAUACACUAAGGUAUAUUGGAUUAAACAUAGUCUUGAAAAAGGGUAGCUGUUUCAGUCCCAUUGCACAUCGAGACUCCCUGUUCCCGUACCUAAGUGUUGAAAUUAAAUUAAAUUGUAAAAAAAAAAAAAAAUGUUGGUUUUAGAGUGUUUUUGUGUGUUUGAAUCUUAGGAUGCUCCUAACGUCUAGGAUGAACAUGUCUCCGAAUUCAUGGCUGAAGGUUUUCACAAUCAAAAUAGGACUUAAUUGAAUUCUGUGGUUAAUCGACAUUGUGAUGCUUGUAUGAAGAUUUGAGAUAGGAUUGUAACUUGGUUCAUUAAGCAUGCUAGGAUUAAGUCUGAUUCAUUUGACCCAAGUGAGCUGUUGAGCUAAAAUACUUUCUUUUUGAGUGCUUACUGAUAAUUUCAGAAUUUCAUGGCUGUAUUUGCAAAACCUCAUCUUUCUUUGAAAAUCCAAUGAUCAUGUGCCAUAGAUUUUAAUGGACUAGAGAGUACUAGAACUCGGCUGUUGUGACUGUCAAAACUUGUAUGCCAUAAUAUGCACUGAUCCUGGAUAGGAUAGAAGGCAUUAGGGUAACCACCAAAGCCAAACAAGCAUGUGUCCCCAAUUGUGCCCGUCGUGGGACUCCUUAGAAUGAACCCCUUUGAGCCUACGUUGAAAACCUUUGUUUCAUCACCCUCACUACC